rnacentral:tRNA from 1 species
ACGGACGUGGCGGAACUGGUAGACGCGCUGGUCUUAGGAGCCAGUACCGUGAGGUGUGGGGGUUCGACUCCCCCCGUCCGUA